AGCGAACGCUGGCGGCAGGCCUAACACAUGCAAGUCGAACGAACUCUUCGGAGUUAGUGGCGGACGGGUGAGUACCACGUGGGAACGUGCCUUUUGGUUCGGAAUAACUCAGGGAAACUUGUGCUAAUAACGAAUGUGCCCUUCGGGGGAAAGAUCUAUCGCCAUUAGAGCGGCCCGCGUCUGAUUAGCUAGUUGGGGAGGUAACGGCUCGUCAAGGCGACGUUCAGUAGCUGGUCUGAGAGGAUGACCAGCCACACUUGGACUGAGACACGGCCCAGACUCCUACGGGAGGCAGCAGUGGGGAAUCUUGCGCAAUGGGCGCAAGCCUGACGCAGCCAUGCCGCGUGAAUGAUGAAGGUCUUAGGAUUGUAAAAUUCUUUCACCGGGGACGAUAAUGACGGUACCCGGAGAAGAAGCCCCGGCUAACUUCGUG
rnacentral:rRNA from 1 species